rnacentral:rRNA from 1 species
GACGAACCGUGCGAACGUUAUUCGGAAUCACUGGGCUUAAAGCGCGUGUAGGCGGGUCGGCGCGUCGGCCGCUGAAAUCCCCCGGCUCAACCGGGGAAGGGGCGCCGAGACGGCCGGCCUGGAGGGACGUAGGGGGGGCUGGAACUUCCGGUGGAGCGGUGAAAUGCGUUGAGAUCGGAAGGAACGCCCGUGGCGAAAGCGAGCCCCUGGACGUCUACUGACGCUGAGACGCGAAAGCCAGGGGAGCGAACAGG